rnacentral:rRNA from 1 species
GGAUGAGCCCGCGGCCUAUCAGCUUGUUGGUGGGGUGAUGGCCUACCAAGGCGACGACGGGUAGCCGGCCUGAGAGGGCGACCGGCCACACUGGGACUGAGACACGGCCCAGACUCCUACGGGAGGCAGCAGUGGGGAAUAUUGCGCAAUGGGCGGAAGCCUGACGCAGCGACGCCGCGUGGGGGAUGACGGCCUUCGGGUUGUAAACCUCUUUCGACCUUGACGAAGCUUUCGGGUGACGGUAGGGGUAGAAGAAGCACCGGCCAACUACGUGCCAGCAGCCGCGGCCGA